UGAGUGAGUGAGUGAGUGAGUGAGUGAGUUUGGUUUUACGCCGCUUUUAGCAAUAUUCCAGCAACAUCACGGCGGUGGGCACCAGAAAAGGGCUGUG